rnacentral:rRNA from 1 species
GUGUCAGCAGCCGCGGUAAUACAGAGGUCUCAAGCGUUGUUCGGAUUCAUUGGGCGUAAAGGGUGCGUAGGUGGCGGGGCAAGUCAGGUGUGAAAUCUCGGAGCUCAACUCCGAAACUGCACUUGAUACUGCCUUGCUCGAGUACUGGAGAGGAGAUUGGAAUUUACGGUGUAGCAGUGAAAUGCGUAGAUAUCGUAAGGAAGACCAGUGGCGAAGGCGAAUCUCUGGACAGUUACUGACACUGAGGCACGAAGGCCAGGGGAGCAAACAGGAUUAGAAACCCGUGUAGUCC